UCGGGAAUUUUGGGCAAUGGGCGAAAGCCUGACCCAGCAACGCCGCGUGAAGGAUGAAGUAUUUCGGUAUGUAAACUUCGAAAGAAUAGGAAGAAUAAAUGACGGUACUAUUUAUAAGGUCCGGCUAACUACGUGCCAGCAGCCGCGGUAAUACGUAGGGACCAAGCGUUGUUCGGAUUUACUGGGCGUAAAGGGCGCGUAGGCGGCAAUUCAAGUCAUCUGUGAAAUCUCCGGGCUUAACUCGGAACGGUCAGAUGAUACUGCUUUGCUAGAGUGCAGAAGGGGCAAUCGGAAUUCUUGGUGUAGCGGUGAAAUGCGUAGAUAUCAAGAGGAACACCUGAGGUGAAGACGGGUUGCUGGGCUGACACUGACGCUGAGGCGCGAGAGCAAGGGGAGCAAACAGGAUUAGAUACCCAUGUAGUCCCUGAGCGGGCUGGCAAGGCGCAU
rnacentral:rRNA from 1 species